rnacentral:rRNA from 1 species
AUUGAACGCUGGCUGCAGGCCUAACACAUGCAAGUCGAGCGAUAGGGGGACGGGUGAGUAAUAUAUGUGAAAUGCCCGAUAGCGGGGGGUAACAACUGGAGACGGUGGCUAAUACCGCAUACGUUCUGAUAAACCAUAUGGGAUUAGCUAGUAGGUAAGGUAAUGGCUUACCUUGUCGACGUUCCCUAGCUGGUCUGAGAGGAUGAUCAGCAACACUGGGACUGAGACACGGCCCAGACUCCUACGGAGGAAGCAGUGGGGAAUAUGGCACAAUGGGCGCAAGCCUUAUGCAGCCAUGCCGCGUGUAUGAAGAAGGCCCUAGGGUUGUAAAGUACUUUCAGUCGGGAGGCGUUACCGACAGAAGAAGCACCGGCUAACUCCGUGCCAGCAACCGCGGUAAUUC